CCUAUUAUCAUGGGUCUAAUGUUAAGAUAGCCCAAUUUAACAAAAGGCCCAGAAUUUUUUUUUUAAAAAAAAAAUGGCCCAACAUUAACUCAUCUUUCCCAUCAAUUCAUAACUGCUCCACUGCGACAGCUGCUUACAAGCUUUCUUCUUCCAUUUUCUUCUUCUCUUCUUGGUCAGUUGGUCAGAAAAGGCUUACAUUACAAUUUAGAAAACAAUUAGAAGUUAGCCCCAGAAAAAACUCUUCUACCCUUCUUCCACUUUCAGCUUUCCACUGCGUUCGACUCUUCACGUAAUGCAUGGACCUGCCGAAAAU
rnacentral:lncRNA from 1 species